rnacentral:lncRNA from 1 species
CAAAGCUACAUAGAGAAAUCCUACCUUAAAAAAAAAAAAAGAAAGAAAAAAAAACAAAAGAAAAACUAAAAACAAAUGAACUGAAUCUCUAGACAUUUUUCUUUCUUUUUCCUUUCUUCCCAUGGUGAAUGGCCACUGAGCUGGGGUUUCCAGGGAUUCAGGGCAUCCUUGGCCCUGGUUGGCUGGAGGAAACAUGAGUAUCUGGCCACAGUUCAGGAGUGAUGUUAGCUCUGGCCAGUAUUCUGAGCUCUCUUUCUUCCCUUCUUAAGGUUUAAAGUCACCUGGUAAUGAUAUCAAGGCCAUUUUAACUUUGAGAGUCUUACUCAUAUUAAGGCAGAGCAUUUUCCCAGGCCUGAUGACCUCUGAGAUGAUCAACCUUGUAGGCAGCUUCAAAACUGCUACGGUCAGGGCCCACCUGGGCUGUAGUGGAGGUUUGGUCAGCUUUGGAGCCCAAGUUGUGUCAAGGGAAUGCCAUGCCAAGAUGGAAAAGAGGAAGAUGACUGGUGAGGGUAGACUGAAGACUCACCAAGGCCUAGUACCUGACUUCAGAAGAAUAGAGUAGGGGAAGCUAUGAAGGGAAAGUCCUUCUUGGUGGCCAGAAUUAGCUGAAAGGGGUACCAGCCAGUUGACCUAGGUGAGCUUGUAUUUGAGAGCAACCACCACAGUUCACGGUUUUCAUUGUAAGGGGCGACUCUAAAGAUCUGAGUCCUCUUUAGUGGAUCCUUCUAGAUUCUUGAAUAGGAUGCCUUUUGGAAUAGCCCAUGUGUUCCAAACUGGAGGCUUGGGAUCCUGUUUAUCUUCAUCCUAAGGUCACAUGUUCAUGUCUUCCAAGAAUUCAAGGACAUAUCUGAUCUGCCUUUCCAGGGUGUUCUCAUGGGGUGGGGUGGAUGUGGCCUGGUCAGCGAAUGCAGAACCUUGAGCUUAUGUUUCAACUGAGUCUGGAGCAAGGCAUCAGUGACAAAUGGCCAAGAUGACCUGUGCCAGUCAAAGCCAGAUUCUAGACUAGAGAAGGUGAAUUAAGAGAAGGAGGCCUUCACUAGGAUGGCAGAUAUGGUGGAUGGAUGGAGCCUUGCCCAAGAUCCUGAAGGUGACAGCCCUGUACUGCCUUCUUCAUAUUUCAUGAAUGGCUAAAAAUAAACUUCUGUUUUAAAC